rfam:Theileria parva strain Muguga apicoplast, complete genome, whole genome shotgun sequence.
GUAUCUAUAGCUUAGAGGCUAAAGCGAUGAGUUCAUACCUCAUGUACAGUAGUUCAAAUCUACUUAGAUAUA